GGCAGAGGGGCGCUGGGCAUCAAUGGAAAAGUAUAGAAGAAUCUCUUGGGCUUUUCUGAUGCUUGUGGACAGCUGAGUGUAAACUUCCUGGUGCUAAGUAUGUCUUCUCCCAAAUGGGAAACUCUUUGGGAGGAGGAUCUAUGGCAGCUCUAUUUUCAGGAAACUCUGCUUCAGGGUUCUGCUGGACUAGAAAUCCUGGUUCCCAGUGGGACUACCCUUCUACCAAGGAACAUGGUAAGCUUAGAGAAAUCUCUGUCUCUGAUCCAGAAGAACCUCAAAACUCAGAAUGGAGGGAAGAACUGCAUGGGGGACUAUCAAGACUUGCUGAUCUUAAGACAUUGAGAUGCAGACUGACCUUCCAAAAUUCAUCUUCCCUUUGUCUCUCAAUCCAUGAGUGUGGAUCACCUUUCUGGUAACAGCCCACCUGAUUUUUUUAAGUAAUCUCUACACCCAAUGUAUAGCCCGAAUUUACAACCCUGAGAUCUGGAGUCGUAUGUUCCAUCAGCUGGCCAGCCAGGUACCACUACAGCAUGAGACUUCAGGUCAAAGACAGCCAUUUUUGAGCAGUGAACAGAGUGGACCCCAAACUAAAAGAUUGUCGUGGAGGACUAUGGAAGCUUUUUCAGUCAGUUCAAGUGAGUUGCAAGUAGAGAUUGGAGAAGAGUCUUUUUAAAUGAGUAUAAUAAGGUGGAUCUUUUU